UUACUCACCAACUAGUCAUGCGCCUCGGAUGCCGCCGGCCACGGGGCUCCCGGAGGGGGGUCCUACACCGCCCGGUGCCCGGGAUCCCCAAUCUGGCCGGUGAAUGAGGCCCCAUCCCAUGUACCCCAGUCCGGAGAACGGGGGGUUACUAUUAAUUCAGGAUUCCAUCCCCACCCGAGGCAGGAGGACACCCAGUGCGCGCCCCAACUCCGGGACAUGUGCCCUGCCCCUGGAACUUCCGAGAUUCCCGCGACGCCCCCUGUCUCUGGGUCAAGAACUUCGGGGGACACCUCUUCUGCCUCCUCCAACCCCAGAGACGGGGUGUCACUAUGCUGCCCAGGCUGGUCUCCAACUCCUGGAUUCAAGUGAUCUGCCUGCCUCAGCCUCUCAAAGGGCUGGGAUAACAGAUGUAAGCUACUGCACCUGGCCUCCAAUGAGUUGUUAUGUGAAGAGAACGUGAUUGUAGAAGUUAGAGGACUGCAACCAGGCCUGAACUCUCAAGGACAGAAAUGGGUCCAACCUGGCAUGACAUCCUCUAAAUCUUUAGCUCCCAGCCCCUCAGGUGCCCCCUCCAGCUACCUCCCUCUUCCUUCUCCUCAUUCCCCAAGCUAUAGCUGGUUGGGCCAACCUCCAGACAUUAGCCUGUUUGCAAACUCCUAUUCAUCCCUCAAAGCCUCACCUUCAAUGCUCUCCUCCCCCAGAAGCUCUCUCUCCUCUACCUCUAGACCUUCUCCAGCCCUCUUCCCUCUUUCUGGCCCGGCCCUGACCCCUGCGAGUGCCUGUGUGCAGCUUUGACUCCUCCAGCCUGAGUGUUCCUCAAGGGUUGACACCAGGGCUGAUGUUUCGCUAGAGUUUGUCACCUUCCAGCACAGAGUGGACCCAUGGGGGUCAGGCAAAGGAGAGUUUGAUGACUCAAUACUAUUGGUGAUUUUGCAUCACUUGAAGGAGAUCCUGCCUUAAAUUCAGAACUUGACUUCCGCCCACGGCCAAAGUUAAUUCAUUCAACAAACAAUCCCACAUGAAGCAACAGAGCCAGGCUCCCUCAGGCCCAGGCAAGAAAGGGUCAAGGAGUUGGGGUCGCCAGCACUGGGUUACGGAUUUGAGGACCUAGGACCAGAGUGAGUUGGGGAUGGGAGGAGGCAGUGCUUGAGGCCCCUCUGAGCACCAAACCUGGACCCGAGGUUCAGUUCCCGCAGACCUAAUUACCCUAAUUUGCCACAUGCACUAAUUACCUCCUGGGUGCCAGGUGGCUGGGCGGGGCUGCCCCAAUUUCCAGAGGUAGGUCGGGGCCCGAUUAUUUUUGGCUGUGGCGUCCUUGAAGGCUCCGCCACCAGCAGCGCUUGAAGGGCAGAAAGUGGGGCGGAGAAAUUGAGGCCACAUCAGGGGAGGCACUGCGGGAACUGGGGGUCGGCUUAGCCUUGGAGCUCCCUGACCAGGGGUCCUUGGGCCCAAGGCCUGAGAGUCUUUGGCACCUAGCCAGAGGUGGCAAGAUCUGGAGGGGCAUGGCCAGGCACAAUAGCUCACGCUUGUAGUCCCAGCGCUUUGGAAGGCUGAGGCAUGUGGAUCACGA